GCAUAUGGUGCCCCUCCCCCCUUCUCUCUCUAUGGAAGGGUUCCCAUUUCAUCUCAUUCAGUAACAAAGAACUUGUUACCGCAAACCCUAAUUCACUCGAACCAUUGUAAGCCCCCACCACCUCCUUCCUUUCUCUUUUUCCUAUCAAUUUGAUACCAAACUGUAGUGAGACCUUACGUUUCUCUCUUCUCGCCAUUAACCUCUACCUCUCUCUCCCCCAAAAAGUCUCCAUCUUCUCUCUCUAGCCUUCUCCUUCAAACAUUCUCUAAAUAGUUGCACAGAAAAGACAACCAUCUCUCUAAGAAAACUAAGCAACCUCAGAUUGGAAACCAGGUAGCUUCUCCAAAGAAAACGAAGAGAUAAUUUGGUCAAGAGGAAUUUCAAUGGGUAUUUUUCUUGUAAGGGUAUACGGAGGCAAUAAAAGUUUCCUAUGGGUCUUUAGAGAGAGAGACUAGGGGAGUUUUGAUAAGAGAAUGAAGAUGGAGGCUCUGGCCCCAAGCAGAUUAGCAUAAUGGGGAAAGCGAUGAAGAUCAUUAAACAAAGAUCAGAAACAGAUCAAGACUGAAAGAAACACAUUUGGGGAAUUUGGAUAGGAGAGACGGAGAAAAUUUGGAUGAGAGAGACAAGGGAACCUAGUGAGGAUUCUUUUUGUGGUGUGCCAGAUUCUUUAGAGAAAUUCAAAGGAAAUUUGAAUGACAGAGAGAGUGUGCGUAUGGGUUUCGGCUGGGUUUAAGAGGGCUGGGUUCGGGCUUUCGUCUCGGAUAGGAGCCUGCUUGGCCCGGCCCAGCCCGCCCGAAAAUUAGAAUGGCCCGCAACAGCCUAGCCUAGACCCGGCUAGAAAGCCCAAACCUCAACCUGAAAGCCCAAACAUCGGCCCGUUAAUAGCUUGAACCCAGCUCGGCCUGAAGCUUGAGGACUGGCCUAGAUCAUUGGCACUUCGACCUGAAAGCCCGCGCAUCGGCCCGUCAAAGCUUGAACCCAGCUCGGCCUGAAGCUUGAGGACCGGCGUAGAUCAUUGGCACUCCUAGUUGUAAGCCUAUCAAAAUAAAUUAAGCCUCACCUCAAAACUAAUAAAAAAUUAAAGUCAUGGUAUAUUAAAACUUCCAAAUCCAUUAUCUGGGCCUUGACCAUGGCUGCCAAAGAAAAAUAGGAUGCUAAGCUUUAAAAAUAGUGUUAACAUAUUAAGUAGACCAUCUAUUUCGCCCUAAACUAAAGUUCAUAGAUCCAUAAGAUCUAUACAAUUUUUAGUGGGAUUGUAUCUUAUGAGGCCAUUUAUUUUUGAUACAAAGUGGUCACAAUUAUUUUUAACCAUUGGAUGUGAAAUCUCAUUAAUGAAAGUGUGUCAUAACAUUCGAAAAUUUUUGUUUUAGACUGUAUAUCUAAAUAAUAACACAUUCU
rnacentral:lncRNA from 1 species